GCAGUCGCCACGGGAAUACGAAGGGUGCAAGCGUUACUCGGAAUUACUGGGCGUGAAGCGUGCGUAGGUGGUGGUUUAAGUCCGUUGUGAAAGCCCUGGGCUCAACCUGGGAAUUGCAGUGGAUACUGGAUCACUAGAGUGUGGUAGAGGAUAGUGGAAUUUCCGGUGUAGCAGUGAAAUGCGUAGAGAUCGGAAGGAACAUCUGUGGCGAAGGCGACUAUCUGGGCCAACACUGACACUGAGGCACGAAAGCGUGGGGAGCAAACAGGAUUAGAUACCCCCGUAGUCCCUGUCUCUUAUAC
rnacentral:rRNA from 1 species